rnacentral:rRNA from 1 species
GACGAACGCUGGCGGCGUGCCUAAUACAUGCAAGUAGAACGCUGAAGGAGGAGCUUGCUUCUCCGGAUGAGUUGCGAACGGGUGAGUAACGCGUAGGUAACCUGCCUGGUAGCGGGGGAUAACUAUUGGAAACGAUAGCUAAUACCGCAUAACAGUAGAUAUCGCAUGAUAGCUGCUUGAAAGGUGCAAUUGCACCACUACCAGAUGGACCUGCGUUGUAUUAGCUAGUUGGUGAGGUAACGGCUCACCAAGGCAACGAUACAUAGCCGACCUGAGAGGGUGAUCGGCCACACUGGGACUGAGACACGGCCCAGACUCCUACGGGAGGCAGCAGUAGGGAAUCUUCGGCAAUGGACGGAAGUCUGACCGAGCAACGCCGCGUGAGUGAAGAAGGUUUUCGGAUCGUAAAGCUCUGUUGUAAGAGAAGAACGAGUGUGAGAGUGGAAAGUUCACACUGUGACGGUAUCUUACCAGAAAGGGACGGCUAACUACGUGCCAGCAGCCGCGGUAAUACGUAGGUCCCAAGCGUUGUCCGGAUUUAUUGGGCGUAAAGCGAGCGCAGGCGGUUAGAUAAGUCUGAAGUUAAAGGCUGUGGCUUAACCAUAGUACGCUUUGGAAACUGUUUAACUUGAGUGCAAGAGGGGAGAGUGGAAUUCCAUGUGUAGCGGUGAAAUGCGUAGAUAUAUGGAGGAACACCGGUGGCGAAAGCGGCUCUCUGGCUUGUAACUGACGCUGAGGCUCGAAAGCGUGGGGAGCAAACAGG